rnacentral:rRNA from 1 species
UACGUAGGGGGCAAGCGUUGUCCGGAUUUAUUGGGCGUAAAGAGCGUGUAGGCGGCUAGAUAGGUCCGUUGUGAAAACUCGAGGCUCAACCUCGAGACGUCGAUGGAAACCAUUUGGCUAGAGUCCGGAAGAGGAGAGUGGAAUUCCUGGUGUAGCGGUGAAAUGCGCAGAUAUCAGGAAGAACACCCGUGGCGAAGGCGGCUCUCUGGUACGUGACUGACGCUGAGACGCGAAAGCGUGGGGAGCAAACAGG